rnacentral:tRNA from 1 species
ACUUUCCUGUGGCUCAGUUGGUAGAGCAUUGCUCUAACAACACAAAGGUCUUGGGUUCAAAUCACAGGGAAAGCA